rnacentral:rRNA from 1 species
UGGGGAAUAUUGCACAAUGGGCGCAAGCCUGAUGCAGCCAUGCCGCGUGUAUGAAGAAGGCCUUCGGGUUGUAAAGUACUUUCAGCGGGGAGGAAGGGAGUAAAGUUAAUACCUUUGCUCAUUGACGUUACCCGCAGAAGAAGCACCGGCUAACUCCGUGCCAGCAGCCGCGGUAAUACGGAGGGUGCAAGCGUUAAUCGGAAUUACUGGGCGUAAAGCGCACGCAGGCGGUUUGUUAAGUCAGAUGUGAAAUCCUCGGGCUCAACCUGGGAACUGCAUCCGAUAAUGGCAAGCUUGAGUCUCGUAGAGGGGGGUAGAAUUCCAGGUGUAGCGGUGAAAUGCGUAGAGAUCUGGAGGAAUACCGGUGGCGAAGGCGGCCCCCUGGACGAAGACUGACGCUCAGGUGCGAAGGCGUGGGGAGCAAACAGG